rnacentral:rRNA from 1 species
UACGUAGGGGGCAAGCGUUGUCCGGAAUCAUUGGGCGUAAAGAGCGUGUAGGCGGCCCGGUAAGUCCGCUGUGAAAGUCCAGGCUCAACCCUGGGAUGCCGGUGGAUACUGUCGGGCUCGAGUCCGGAAGAGGAGUGUGGAAUUCCUGGUGUAGCGGUGAAAUGCGCAGAUAUCAGGAGGAACACCAAUGGCGAAGGCAGCACUCUGGGACGUGACUGACGCUGAGACGCGAAAGCGUGGGAGCAAACAGG